rnacentral:tRNA from 1 species
AAAUAAGAAGCAAAAUUGCAUUUAAUUUCGACUUAAAAGAUUGAGUUUAAAUUACUCCUUAUUUA